GUAGUCAUAUGCUUGUCUCAAAGAUUAAGCCAUGCAUGUCUAAGUAUAAGCAACUUGUACUGUGAAACUGCGAAUGGCUCAUUAAAUCAGUUAUCGUUUAUUUGAUAGUACCUUACUACAUGGAUACCUGUGGUAAUUCUAGAGCUAAUACAUGCUAAAAACCCCGACUUCAGGAAGGGGUGUAUUUAUUAGAUAAAAAACCAACGCCCUUCGGGGCUCCUUGGUGAAUCAUAAUAACUUAACGAAUCGCAUGGCCUUGCGCCGGCGAUGGUUCAUUCAAAUUUCUGCCCUAUCAACUUUCGAUGGUAGGAUAGUGGCCUACCAUGGUGGCAACGGGUAACGGGGAAUUAGGGUUCGAUUCCGGAGAGGGAGCCUGAGAAACGGCUACCACAUCCAAGGAAGGCAGCAGGCGCGCAAAUUACCCAAUCCCGAUACGGGGAGGUAGUGACAAUAAAUACUGAUACGGGGCUCUUUUGGGUCUCGCAAUUGGAAUGAGAACAAUUUAAAUCCCUUAACGAGG
rnacentral:rRNA from 1 species